UACGGAGGGUGCAAGCGUUAAUCGGAAUUACUGGGCGUAAAGCGCGCGUAGGCGGCUCGGUCAGUCGGGUGUGAAAUCCCUGGGCUCAACCUGGGAACUGCAUUCGAUACUGCCAAGCUAGAGUGUGGGAGAGGGUAGUGGAAUUCCCGGUGUAGCGGUGAAAUGCGUAGAUAUCGGGAGGAACAUCAGUGGCGAAGGCGACUGCCUGGCCCAACACUGACGCUGAGGUGCGAAAGCGUGGGUAGCAAACAGG
rnacentral:rRNA from 1 species